rnacentral:rRNA from 1 species
GGGGAAUUUUCCGCAAUGGGCGAAAGCCUGACGGAGCAAUACCGCGUGAGGGAGGAAGGCCUUUGGGUUGUAAACCUCUUUUCUCAGGGAAGAAGAUCUGACGGUACCUGAGGAAUAAGCAUCGGCUAACUCCGUGCCAGCAGCCGCGGUAAUACGGAGGAUGCAAGCGUUAUCCGGAAUUAUUGGGCGUAAAGCGUCCGCAGGUGGUUUUUCAAGUCUGCUGUUAAAGACUAGAGCUUAACUCUGGAAAGGCGGUGGAAACUGAGAAACUAGAGUCCGGUAGGGGUAGCGGGAAUUCCCAGUGUAGCGGUGAAAUGCGUAGAUAUUGGGAAGAACAUCGGUGGCGAAGGCGCGCUACUGGGCCGGAACUGACACUCAGGGACGAAAGCUAGGGGAGCGAAAGGAAUUAGAUACCCCUGUAGUCA